UUGAGCCUUAUAUUCAUUUUUUGCUCAUUUUAUUGAUUAUUUUGUUAAUACAUUGAUUCUUUUCUUCAUUUUUUUUUUGUUAAAUUCUGUUGCUAUAUAUAAUUCUAUGUAUGUUAGUCAUUUUUUGUUGAUUUCUGAUUCGUCAUUUCAGUCAAAGGUCACAUGACGCGCUGACUCUCCUCCCUGCAGUUCCUGAUAUCUCUGUAACAGACACUGAACAUUCUAGAACAGACGUGAACGUGAUGGACCGCGUCCUCCUCAGCCUGGUGGUGUUUCUACUGUGGAUUAGAGGUUUCACUCAUGGAAGUGAAGUCACUCAGACACCGACACUGUGGAAAACCAGAGGGGAAAAUGCGACGCUGUCCUGUAAACACUCUAAAGGUGCUGGAUACAACCAGAUGUACUGGUUCCGACAGUUGCCGGGGGAAACCAUGGAGCUCAUAGUGUACACAACUGUGGGCCUGGAUCCAGACUUUGGAGAAUUUAAGGACAAAUUCACAGCCACGAAGCCUAACUUUGAAAGCGGGACGUUGACGGUGAAGAAUGUGACAGCGGCAGAUCGAGGCUUGUAUUUGUGCGCCGUGAGCGAACACAGUGACACAAACCCACUGAACAGCUGA